rnacentral:lncRNA from 1 species
UGCGCUUGCGGAUCAUUUUCUGAUGGCAUUACCAAAUAUCAACAAGCAUUUCUGGCGCCGUUGCCGGGGAGAAAGACGGUUUGCUGAGAUAACUUUUAGUCUUGCUAUUAUCUUGUAUUAUACUUUUAUACUUUUAUUCUUUUAUCUUUUUUUUCAUCUUUAUGGAUAACUCAAAUUCCACACCUAUUAUUGAAUUUUUUGCACCUUUAGAGACCAGUCAUAGACCAUGGGAGUCAAAAAGUCCUUUCUUUGCCCCUAAUUAUGAUCUGUGUCUAGAGUUGAUUGCAAUAGGUCAAAACCAACCCUUUUUUAUAGCUGAGGUCCUAUCUUUUAAUCAAGAAGAUAAUGAACUUUUAGCUACACCUAGGGAAUCUGUUGUUGACGGUCCUUAAGUAUCAAAUAUAAUUAUCAAAUAAACAAAGAAAUGGAUCAAAAUGCAACCGACAUCCAGACUUAGGGUUUUAUCUG